rnacentral:rRNA from 1 species
CGCAAGGGGAGCGGCAGACGGGUGAGUAACGCGUGGGAAUCUACCCAGCUCUACGGAAUAACUCAGGGAAACUUGUGCUAAUACCGUAUACGUCCGAUAGGAGAAAGAUUUAUCGGAGUUGGAUGAGCCCGCGUUGGAUUAGCUAGUUGGUGGGGUAAUGGCCUACCAAGGCGACGAUCCAUAGCUGGUCUGAGAGGAUGAUCAGCCACACUGGGACUGAGACACGGCCCAGACUCCUACGGGAGGCAGCAGUGGGGAAUAUUGGACAAUGGGCGAAAGCCUGAUCCAGCCAUGCCGCGUGAGUGAUGAAGGCCCUAGGG